rnacentral:lncRNA from 7 species
AGGUUAAUUUCAAUUAGAGUGAUGAUCACUUUUCCUGAUGAAAUCUCAUAGAUUAUUCCCUUGCUGGGAGAUCUGUUAGAAGCUCUUGCUCCCAGCUAAGUGAAGGAGCUCUUGGUGAGCUCUGAAACCUUUGGAGAGGUGAGUAACUUCUUGUCUCCUCUGCUACAAAUAUGGAGAACAGGCUGCUCCAUUUUUGCAUCAAUGUUUUAGGAUCAAAUGCCUCUCCAUACACCACAGGAGCCCACUGCGGAGCCCUGACAGCCCAGGAGUGAGUGUGAGCUCCCAUCCUGGGCUGGUGCUAUGGCCUUACCCAUAUGGAGCCUUCAUGGAGCAGAGCUAAAUUACCCCCUUCCACAAUCUAAGCAAGCACCUUUAUCUCUGGGCUUUCAUUUUCACUCUGUGGGUGUUUGGCAAUGGGGAUUAUAUUAGCAUAAGUAAUUAUUACCAUAUGUUAUUGUUUGAGGUCCUAACUGACAAUGUGUGUGGAGAAUGAUCUGAAUGAUACGUAUGGUAUCUCUCUUUACACACAGAGACAGGGGGAUCUAGGGUGUGACUAACUUCUUCCUAAAUACAGUUAAAAUUAUCUGCACCCAAAUUAUAUAUUUUUUUUUGCUACUGACUGUACAGGGAACCCAUCUCAGUCACAGCUGUCCCACUUGGAGAUGCCUUAUGGUAAAGUAAUUCUCACCUGAAAGAUGGACAGUUAAAUUCAACCCAAAACUUUAGUCCACACAGAAUACACAGUGUUAAGCAAGUCAGUCAGUGUAAUAAAUACAUGCCUAAACAUCUCCUCCAAGGGUUUAAAAAAUAAAACAAAAUAAGAACUUUGGGAAGUAAAAAUGCAGAACACCAAUCCCAGUUGAUUUUCUACAUUUUAUCAAGUGGAGGCAAACUCUCAAACAUUUGGAUAGAUUCAAGAAGAUGCCAUUUAUUUCUUGAUGUGAGGGCUAGCAGCUUUGCAAAGGGCAGGGAUGAGCGGGGACAAACUGUGAUGUUUCAAACCACUAUGCAGAGUGAACAAACUGCCGAUGGGAGACUCUGUUCCUUCAGCAAUGGCAGUGCAGCAACCUCUGCUUCUGUGUUCUUGGAGGCAUGGUGUCAGAUCCCUUAGCCUGCACCAGCGGAGUAACCUCUCCUCCCUGAGUUUCAUUUUUCCUAACACGACAUGAAGUUUCAGAUUUCCUGCAUAAAUAUUACAUGGGCCUCAGAAAUUAUUAAUAACAAGCGCAUUUGAAUUCAGAACCAGCUGUAGAAAUAAAUGUCCAGUACUUCAGAG